AUAAAGCACACACAUGGCGGUGGGGCUCAGACAGCUUUUGGCAGAAAUAUUUAUUGUAACACCACACCUGUGUUUCUGGUGCCUGAGGAGACCUUGUAUCUUCUGGAAUUGGAAGGAAAGAUGAGUGUGAGCUACCAUGUGAGUGAUACAUACUCAUGCCCUGUGCAACAGCAGGUGAGACAGCUGGGGCAGUGUUGGACAGCUCACCCUGGUGAUGAGGAUGAGGGAGAAGAGGUGGGAUGACCAACACCGCCACCAUCCAGGCCCAGAACCAGGGCUUUUAGUUGGCCUACCCCAACAUUUACACCAUCCAUGAUCAUCUGGAGCAUGUGAAGGAGACAGAACUGCAGACACAAAGCUGCAGGAUCUCCAUGACGCAGCAACAGCAGGAUAUCCAAGAGGAGUCCAAGUGAGUGCCCAGUAUCAACAGUAUAGAAGAAACCAGAGGCCACAAACCACAGCAAUGACUCGUUGUAAAUAAAGAUGUAUGCCAUAAAAUGUA